rnacentral:rRNA from 1 species
UGGAUGAUGUGGAUUAAUUCGAUGCAACGCGAAAACCUUACCUACCCUUGACAUGUCUGGAACCUCGCUGAGAGGCGAGGGUGCCUUCGGGAGCCAGAACACAGGUGCUGCAUGGGCUGUCAUCAGCUCGUGUCGUGAGAUGUUGGGUUAAGUCCCGCAACGAGCGCAACCCUUGUCAUUAGUUGCCAUCAUUUAGUUGGGCACUCUAAUGAGACUGCCGGUGACAAACCGGAGGAAGGUGGGGAUGACGUCAAGUCCUCAUGGCCCUUAUGGGUAGGGCUUCACACGUCAUACAAUGGUCGGUACAGAGGGUUGCCAAGCCGCGAGGUGGAGCCAAUCCCUUAAAGCCGAUCGUAGUCCGGAUCGUAGUCUGCAACUCGACUACGUGAAGUCGGAAUCGCUAGUAAUCGCAGAUCAGCAUGCUGCGGUGAAUACGUUCCCGGGUCCU